rnacentral:rRNA from 1 species
UACGAAGGGGGCUAGCGUUGCUCGGAAUUACUGGGCGUAAAGCGCACGUAGGCGGCUUCUUAAGUCGGUGGUGAAAUCCUGGAGCUCAACUCCAGAACUGCCUUCGAUACUGGGAAGCUUGAGUUCGGGAGAGGUGAGUGGAACUGCGAGUGUAGAGGUGAAAUUCGUAGAUAUUCGCAAGAACACCAGUGGCGAAGGCGGCUCACUGACCCGAUACUGACGCUGAGGUGCGAAAGCGUGGGGAGCAAACAGG